UCCGGAUUUAUUGGGCGUAAAGCGAGCGCAGGCGGUUAGAUAAGUCUGAAGUUAAAGGCUGUGGCUUAACCAUAGUACGCUUUGGAAACUGUUUAACUUGAGUGCAGAAGGGGAGAGUGGAAUUCCAUGUGUAGCGGUGAAAUGCGUAGAUAUAUGGAGGAACACCGGUGGCGAAAGCGGCUCUCUGGUCUGUAACUGACGCUGAGGCUCGAAAGCGUGGGGAGCGAACAGGACUAGAUACCNUGGUAGUCCACGCCGUAAACGAUGAGUGCUAGGUGUUAGGCCCUUUCCGGGGCUUAGUGCCGCAGCUAACGCAUUAAGCACUCCGCCUGGGGAGUACGACCGCAAGGUUGAAACUCGAAGGAAUUGACGGGGGCCCGCACAAGCGGUGGAGCAUGUGGUUUAAUUCGAAGCAACGCGAAGAACCUUACCAGGUCUUGACAUCCCGAUGCCCGCUCUAGAGAUAGAGUUUUACUUCGGUACAUCGGUGACAGGUGGUGCAUGGUUGUCGUCAGCUCGUGUCGUGAGAUGUUGGGUUAAGUCCCGCAACGAGCGCAACCCUUAUUGUUAGUUGCCAUCAUUCAGUUGGGCACUCUAGCGAGACUGCCGGUAAUAAACCGGAGGAAGGUGGGGAUGACGUCAAAUCAUCAUGCCCCUUAUGACCUGGGCUACACACGUGCUACAAUGGCUGGUACAACGAGUCGCAAGUCGGUGACGGCAAGCUAAUCUCUUAAAGCCAGUCUCAGUUCGGAUUGUAGGCUGCAACUCGCCUACAUGAAGUCGGAAUCGCUAGUAAUCGCGGAUCAGCACGCCGCGGUGAAUACGUUCCCGGGCCUUGUACACACCGCCCGUCACACCACGAGAGUUUGUAACACCCGAAGUCGG
rnacentral:rRNA from 1 species